ACGGUAGCAUAUGAAUAAGCACCGGCUAACUCCGUGCCAGCAGCCGCGGUAAUACGGAGGGUGCAAGCGUUACUCGGAAUCACUGGGCGUAAAGGACGCGUAGGCGGGUUGGUAAGUCAGAUGUGAAAUCCUACAGCUUAACUGUAGAACUGCAUUUGAAACUACUAACCUAGAGUAUGGGAGGGGGAGAUGGAAUUAGUGGUGUAGGGGUAAAAUCCGUAGAUAUCACUAGGAAUACCGAAAGCGAAGGCGAUCUCCUGGAACAUUACUGACGCUAAGGCGUGAAAGCGUGGGGAGCAAACGGGAUUAGAUACCCCGGUAGUCCACGCCCUAAACGAUGUUCACUAGUCGUCGGGAUGCUAGUCAUCUCGGUGAUGCACUUAACAGAUUAAGUGAACCGCCUGGGGAGUACGGUCGCAAGAUUAAAACUCAAAGGAAUAGACGGGGACCCGCACAAGUGGUGGAGCAUGUGGUUUAAUUCGAAGAUACGCGAAGAACCUUACCUAGCCUUGACAUUGAUAGAAUACACCAGAGAUGGAGUAGUGCCUUUCGGGGAACUUGAAAACAGGUGCUGCACGGCUGUCGUCAGCUCGUGUCGUGAGAUGUUGGGUUAAGUCCCGCAACGAGCGCAACCCUCGUCCUUAGUUGCCAGCAGGUUAAGCUGGGCACUCUAAGGAGACUGCCUUCGUAAGGAGGAGGAAGGUGAGGACGACGUCAAGUCAUCAUGGCCCUUAUGGCUAGGGCUACACACGUGCUACAAUGGGGCGUACAGAGUGUUGCGAUACCGCGAGGUGGAGCUAAUCACUUAAAGCGUCUCUCAGUUCGGAUAGCAGUCUGCAACUCGACUGCUUGAAGCUGGAAUCACUAGUAAUCGUAGAUCAGCAAUGCUACGGUGAAUACGU
rnacentral:rRNA from 1 species